CGCCGAGCCGGGCCGGGGCGGGGGCGCGCGGCAGUGGCCGCGCACGGAAGCUCGGGCGCUCGUGCCCGGCGGUGCGUUCGCGGCCUUGGCCCCCGCGCCGACCCCCGCCGCCGAGAGGACGGGAGAGCUGCGCCGCUGGCCCCCUGGCGUGCGCGGCCGGCGUCAGUCCCGGAGGCGUGGGCGGCCGCGCCGUGCGCUGCCCGGCGGCCCUGGUGCGGGAGGCCUGGUUCUGCGUCACCGCCCCUCCCUUCGUCUGCGUGGUUUGGUUCUUGGGACCUGGUAGAGGGUAGGCCGGCCCGGGGCGUUCCGUGUGCUGUCACUGCGUGGGAAAGGCUUCAGGACAGCGGGCCCUGUAGCGGGAUUCGGGACGCCGCCGUGCUCGGAGGCUUCGGCGGAUUGACGGCCGGGUCGGAGAGGGCAGGGAAGGCGGCGUCGUCGACCAUGCGAAGCGUGGAGGCAGAACAUGCUGGCAUCGUGUUGAUGAGGAUUCCAAUCUGCAUGGCAGACGCAGUCUCACUGUAACGCUCUGAAGCUCGAGGGCUGCAGGUCAUCCCAGGAAGGUGGUUUUGUCAUCAAACCUCAGGCAGUUUUGAAGCAAACCAGAUCAUCUCAGUGUCAUUAUUAUUCUACAGACCUCAAGACCACACCCAUCACUUUUCCAUAAGUCUUUUACAUUCCUGCAGUUAUCAUGAGAAAGCCCUGCUAAGUAUAACAGACCUAUGAAUGCUUUCAGUUCAGCUAGUGAGGUGUCAUAAUAAACACAUUUUUGAGUAUGGUUAUUGGUGCAUAUGGAUUGUUUUACUUGUAUUUCAGCAUUUGUGUAUUUCACAAUAUCUUGUAGCAUUUAGUCUGCUCCAAACAAUUUCCAACAUUGAAUGGCAGUGCUGGUAUUCCAUCCAAUAG
rnacentral:lncRNA from 1 species